UGGAGAGUUUGAUCCUGGCUCAGGACGAACGCUGGCGGCGUGCUUAACACAUGCAAGUCGAACGGAAAGGCCCUUCGGGGUACUCGAGUGGCGAACGGGUGAGUAACACGUGGGUGAUCUGCCCUGCACUUUGGGAUAAGCCUGGGAAACUGGGUCUAAUACCGAAUAUGACCGCGCGUUUCAUGGCGUGUGGUGGAAAGCUUUUGCGGUGUGGGAUGGGCCCGCGGCCUAUCAGCUUGUUGGUGGGGUAAUGGCCUACCAAGGCGACGACGGGUAGCCGGCCUGAGAGGGUGUCCGGCCACACUGGGACUGAGAUACGGCCCAGACUCCUACGGGAGGCAGCAGUGGGGAAUAUUGCACAAUGGGCGCAAGCCUGAUGCAGCGACGCCGCGUGAGGGAUGACGGCCUUCGGGUUGUAAACCUCUUUCGCCAGGGACGAAGCGCAAGUGACGGUACCUGGAGAAGAAGCACCGGCCAACUACGUGCCAGCAGCCGCGGUA
rnacentral:rRNA from 1 species